GUGUGUGUGUGCGUGUGUGUGUGUAACACCUCAAUUUUAAUUUUUACUUACUAGUAAAACUGCAUACAGAAAUUAAGCAAUACCCAUAUAACUAAAACUUAAACAACAAAUUAACAAGAAACAUAUCUAACAAAACAAUUAAAAUAAAAAUUAAACAAUACCCAUAUAACAAAAAACAACAAUACCCAUAUAACAAUAAUCAAAUUAAAAGCAGUACUCGUAUGAUAACAAACUAAUAAGAAACAUCUCAUAUCUUACAAAACAAUUAAAAUAAAAAAAUAAAAAAAAUUGAACAAAAUAGAAAAUUAACAAGACUACUGCAUACCUAAUACCCAUACAGCAAAAUUAUAUAAGAAGGGGAGGAAAAGGAAAAAAAAAAAGGUUUCCCAGGUCAUAGUAGCAGAAGAAGAAGAAGAAGAGAGAGGAGAGCCUCUUUGGGUGGCGGCACAUAUGAAAGAAUAAUCAGAUUGUUUUUCAUUCUUUCAUAACAUUAUAUUAUAUAAUUAGGUCAUCACUUAAAACCCUUGCUACAUGUCAUAUUCUGAUUGCACCUUAACU
rnacentral:misc_RNA from 1 species